rnacentral:rRNA from 1 species
AGACCCGAAACCCGGUGAUCUAGCCAUGGGCAGGUUGAAGGUUGGGUAACACUAACUGGAGGACCGAACCGACUAAUGUUGAAAAAUUAGCGGAUGACCUGUGGCUGGGGGUGAAAGGCCAAUCAAACCGGGAGAUAGCUGGUUCUCCCCGAAAGCUAUUUAGGUAGCGCCUCGUGAAUUCAUCUCCGGGGGUAGAGCACUGUUUCGGCUAGGGGGCCAUCCCGGCUUACCAACCCGAUGCAAACUGCGAAUACCGGAGAAUGUUAUCACGGGAGACACACGGCGGGUGCUAACGUCCGUCGUGAAGAGGGAAACAACCCAGACCGCCAGCUAAGGUCCCAAAGUCAUGGUUAAGUGGGAAACGAUGUGGGAAGGCCCAGACAGCCAGGAUGUUGGCUUAGAAGCAGCCAUCAUUUAAAGAAAGCGUAAUAGCUCACUGGUCGAGUCGGCCUGCGCGGAAGAUGUAACGGGGCUAAACCAUGCACCGAAGCUGCGGCAGCGACGCUGAUGCGUUGUUGGGUAGGGGA